rnacentral:miRNA from 1 species
AAACACGAUCAACUUUGGUGUUUAUGACGUCGAUCUUCGACGUCAUAAAUUCGAUCAACUUUGGUUUUGAUGGCGUCGAUAUUCGACGUCAUAUACACGAUCAGCUUAGAUGGUUAUGACGUCGAUAUUUGACGUAAUAAACACGAUCAAAUUUGGUGUAUGUGAAGUCGAUAUUCGACGUCAUAAACACGAUCAAAUUUGGUGUAUGUGAAGUCGAUAUUCGACGUCAUAAACACGAUCGACUUU